UCCAUCUGGAAAGGUCAAGGCGCACCCAUAUUAGAAACAGUAUUCAUCAAAUCAGAGCCAUUAUGUCAUUUUUGGUCUUGCAAAAUUCUGUGAGGAAAUGCUGUCUGCAUAAAAAGGUUUGAAAUUGCCUACAGGUGCCACAAGAGGUUGGCAAUCCAUUUGUUUUCCAAUCGAGAAAGGUACUGUAUGACCAAACUUCACGGACCCCCGUGACAAACAAAAUAAUGUUUUGGCACAAAGAUGAACCAAAUGGUCCCAAAGCAGUUCGAGGUGCAACGAUUGCAACUAUUUUGAUGAUCCAUGACUCGUUUAGCAACAAUUUUAACGUCAUACGGUCGCAAUUUCAGCCUCUCAACAGUACAUAUUGUCCGGGUUGUCUGGUCCUCCAUAAAAGCAGACUGAUUAUAUUUGUGUUUCAGCAAAAUAAGACAUUUGCAAACAUCUGCUUCUACUUUGGAAAACAAUGACGAACAUUUUGUUUUCCAAUUUUCUAUAUAUCAUUAUUUUGUUUGGGACAAAACAUUCAUUUCAUCAUGUUGUUUUGUCUAUAACUAUACUUUUUUAAAACGAUUGUUUCUGAUAUUCUGGUUAGAUGAUUUAGCAAAAUAAAAGCUUCAAAGUAUGUGGAACAAUACAUAGUAACAUUAACAGCAUUAUCUGUACCAAACUAGAGUAGACAAGUACAUCUGCUAUGUUGGUUUAUUUUUUCUAUAGCUACAUGAAAGCAUCAAAACAUUAUAAGAAGCACUUCUGAAAAAGCUACAUCAUAGUGUCGUUAAGCUUGUUUUAAUAAUACAUUUUGUGACCAAAUGUUGCCAUCGCCGUGGAUUGUUAUCUAGAACAACAAAUUGACCGUUUUUGAUAUUUUGGUUCUAACAUAAAGGCUGAACGCAUUGAUGUUUUUUAUCAUUGUAUCGUAUCGCCACUUUGGUUUGGGAAACAAAUUGAACAUUGUCAUGGAUCAUUUUCUCGAAUAGCACGUUUUGUAUCAAGUCUUGUGAUUGUGGUAUGGUGCUUAUCUUGUUUAGCAACACGAAAGGAUGAAACAUUAGACAGACUUUUGAGUGGCAGCAAAGACGAUGAUGCAGCUUUUGACAGCAGCUUCUUGGAAUUGAAUUGCUUUACGCUUUGUGCACGCUCUCCUAUACAACAUUCAAAUUUACAUUUUUGGACUUCGGACGACCGUGGGCUCUGCUCAAGCCCGAACCCGCCAGGCUUCAUCCUCACAGCCAGGACAAGAAAUACAAAUGAGCCCGAAAAGAAAAAGGUGGACGUGUACCUAAAAGAGGCAAAAGAAGACAGAAUCCAGCGAGCAUCAUCCUCUCCUCACGCUUGACGAUAAACAGCUUCGUUGGAAGAAAAUGCGCAAAGUUGGGCUCACUUUAAAUCCACGGGAAGGAAUUCCAUUGCCACGCCAACAAAAGCAACAAGAAAAUUAAUUCCCUUUUGACGCGUUGGAAACAAGUCCGGCUGGAAAAGCUUUGUGAGUUCAAUUGUGCUCGUCCGGCGGGAUGCUCGCGUCUGCCCGAGUGGCGCAUUGAGCAGCAAGCAGCAAGAGCGCACCAGCUUCCCCCUCAAGUGCGCGACCACCAAUGCAUGCAGCGCACACAAGAACAAGAACAAUAAGAAGGAUGUUCAAGAGAAACAGCAGCCUGAGAACGCCGUGACCGUGUUACGAGCACACGUACAUAUUUAUCUUUAUUGAGCACCGCGGUCCCAGCGCGCGCGUAAUGAAAAUAACCCGGUGAUCUGUUUGCCCCCAACCCUUUUCAAAGUAUAAUUUCUGCACUCGAAAGGAUCGUUCGGAGCAUUUCAACAAGUUUAAUCUGCAGCACAGAUCUCAUUUGCACGUCUAUUCAAACAAAAACUAAACACACAGCAGAGUUAUAUUUGUGAAAAGUCUUGCAAGUUGCAAUGCUAUUUCGGUAGCCAUUGGACAUCUGUCAGAGACAUGUUGAUUAUAUUACAAACCAUCAAGGCACGCACGCACACACACACACACCACACAUACACACACGCACACACACACACACACACACACACACACACACACACACACACACACACACGCACGCACACUGAAGACAUCCUAUCCUUCACAUGAUAUAGGAUGGAUAACAAGGUCAAAUAUACGUAUGCAUAUGGAAUAUAAGGACUGCACAAUAAACGCGUCCAAAGGGGUUCGUAACAUGGUGGAGACUGGCGCCAUCUGUCCAGUAUUUUAGGUAAAGCACACAGACGAGACCUCAUCGUGUCUAUUCAUUCAUAGGCGAGGUUAAAAAAACGAAUGAAUGUGAUACGUACGAAAGAACAAUGAAUAAGAUCAUAAAAAAAUAAAAUAACGCAAAGGCAUUUAAAUUUCGAAUUGAAAUAUCCAACUAUCUACUAGUCCAGGGGCUUUCAACUGGUUUUGUCCAAGGGACCACCAUUACAACCAAGAAGCAACUCGGGGACCACUACUUUGGCGAAAUAUUAUUUUAUUUUGCGCCGAAGGAGGAUAGACCUAUACAGGCUAUUUAUUUGCAUCUGUAUGUUUAUUUUGGGAGUCUCAGCUACAUUUGGCAUAAUUUGGAUGGGUAAAUGAUCCAUAAAAUUAACUGGAAAAUAAAUAAUGUUUAAAUAAUAAAUAAAUCCUAUUUAAAAAUUUAAUACAAUUAUUUUCUAUUUUCAGUUUCGCGGACCAGCUGCAAUACCGCCACGGACCACUAAAGGGCCGCGGACCGAUUGCCAAAACCUGAACUAGUCGAUGAUAAACGUACAUAUAUAUGCGUAAAAUAUGUACAAAUAUGACCUUUUUUUUAUUAGUUCUAGUACACUUAAUAAUUUGUGAUUUAAAAGGUCAUAAAUUGAUAAAAUAUUCUAAAUUACCGUUUUUUUCCAUGCAUAAUGCGCAAAAUUUAACUAAUUUAUUGUCCUAAAAUCUGGGGUGCGCAUUAUACAUGGGUAAAUUUUUUUUUUUUGAAGAAGAAGAAAAUCAUGGUACAACGAUUUUUAAAGAAAAUCUUGUCACGGAUGGAGUGUGGAAAGGAGCGGGGCAACCAAGUGCAGCUUGGACCAGGGUUUAUUGGAGGAACUCAAAACACAGACUUGGUAAACUAAUUGUGAUAACUGGAACAUCACUCAAAUAUUGGUGAUCCCGUUGAGAGUCUCACAUAUUUCUUCGCUACUGCAUGCGCAGUGAUACUGACCGGCAGAAUAACAUCCGGUUGUUCCCAAAGAUGAUCUUUUUUCUGAAAUAAUUUUACGUUUAUGGACUUAAGUAACCCGGCGUGUUUAAGAACACGCAAUGAAUUUGUGCUGGGUGGGUGUCAAAUAGUGCCCCAAGUAACAAUACCAAUAAUCCUCACAUGAAGUUGUGGAACACAUUCAUGAUUCAUGAUAGGCUCAGUGGCCUACUGGUAGUGUCCCCCCGAGACUGGAAGGUUGUUAGUUCAAACCCCGGCGGGGUCAUACCAAAGACUAUAAAAAUGGGACCCAUUGCCUCCCUGCUUGGCACUCAGCAUUAAGGGUUGGAAUUGGGGGGUUAGAUCACCAAAUGAUUCCCGAGCGCGGCGCCGCUGCUGCUCACUGCUCCCCUCUCCCCCAGGGGAUGGAUCAAAAUCACACUGGGAUGGCUCAAAUGCAGAGGACAAAUUUCACCACACCCAGAUGCGUGUGUGACGAUCAUUGGGACUUUAAAAAAAAAAAAGGCAAAAUUUGGGUGCGUAUUAUACAUGGGUACAGGCUUUUUCCCAGCAUCGACAUGCCAUUUUUAGGGUGCGUAUUAUACAUGGGGGCGCAUUAUACAUGGAAAAAAAUGGUAAUGCAAAUAUGACAUGACUCUUGGAUGUUAUUUCUUGUCAGGCGAUUGCCCACCAUUUAUUCAUAUAGUGGUAAGAGAAAGCCUAAUUGUAUCAGAUGCUGAGACAGAUAUAAUGCUGCUGUUCAGGUGCAGUGAUUUGUUUGACAUGAGAGGAGCGCAAAUGUACCUAAUAGAAGUUGAGAAACCUUCAUUUAUGGUAUUAAGGUCACGCCCACCUGAAAUGUGAUAUGUUGAGCGUUUGUUAGUUCUAUUUCCUCUCUCCAUCCCAACCGAUGAUGCAACAAACGCAUGUUUACAUAGUUCCAAAUAAAGUGGCUAAGAAGAGCCCAAAAGAA